UAACUCAAUUAAUAAAAAAUCAAAUAAUAAUUUAGAAGCAAAAAUGUUUGCAAUACUAUCUACACAACGGUGCGAGGUGGAGUACCUUAGUUGAACAGAAACUGAAAAGAGAUGAAAUCCUCUUCUCUGCAAACGCCAACACCAAAGUGCUUUGCCCGAUAAAUGUGUUUCACGAGCCGGAUCCAUUCCUCCUCCCAGAUUGCUGCGGUAUUGCACAAAAAUCAACUUCUCCGGGCAGUUUUGCACAGAAAUCUGGACGAUUUUCUUCUCCAAUUGUACCGUACAAAUUUUCUUCUCCCAUUGCCGAUCAUCGUUCCGUUUAUCUAUCUAUAGCUGCCGACUGUCGUUUG
rnacentral:lncRNA from 1 species